rnacentral:rRNA from 1 species
UACGUAGGGGGCAAGCGUUAUCCGGAUUUACUGGGUGUAAAGGGAGCGUAGGCGGCUUAGUAAGUCAGAAGUGAAAGCCCGCAGCUCAACUGCGGGACUGCUUUUGAAACUGCCAAGCUAGAGUGUCGGAGAGGUAAGUGGAAUUCCUAGUGUAGCGGUGAAAUGCUUAGAGAUCAUACAGAACACCGAUUGCGAAGGCAGCUUACCAAACUAUAUCUGACGUUGAGGCACGAAAGCGUGGGGAGCAAACAGG